rnacentral:rRNA from 1 species
UACGUAGGGGGCAAGCGUUGUCCGGAUUUAUUGGGCGUAAAGAGCGUGUAGGCGGCUAGGUAGGUCCGUUGUGAAAACUCGAGGCUCAACCUCGAGACGCCGAUGGAAACCAUCUAGCUAGAGUCCGGAAGAGGAGAGUGGAAUUCCUGGUGUAGCGGUGAAAUGCGCAGAUAUCGGGAAGAACACCGGUGGCGAAGGCGGCUCUCUGGACCUGUCCUGACGCUCAGGCGCGACAGCGUGGGGAGCAAACAGG